AGAGUUUGAUCAUGGCUCAGAACGAACGCUGGCGGCAGGCUUAACACAUGCAAGUCGAGCGGGCCCUUCGGGGUCAGCGGCGGACGGGUGAGUAACGCGUGGGAACAUGCCCUUGGGUGCGGAACAACUCCGGGAAACUGGAGCUAAUACCGCAUGAUGUCUUCGGACCAACGAUUUAUCGCCCAGGGAUUGGCCCGCGUCGGAUUAGGUAGUUGGUGGGGUAAUGGCCUACCAAGCCGACGAUCCGUACCUGGUUUGAGAGGAUGAUCAGGCACACUGGGACUGAGACACGGCCCAGACUCCUACGGGAGGCAGCAGUGGGGAAUCUUGGACAAUGGGGGCAACCCUGAUCCAGCCAUGCCGCGUGGACGAUGAAGGCCUUAGGGUUGUAAAGUCCUUUCACCGGGGAAGAUAAUGACGGUACCCGGAGAAGAAGCCCCGGCUAACUCCGUGCCAGCAGCCGCGGUAAUUC
rnacentral:rRNA from 1 species